rnacentral:pre_miRNA from 1 species
GCAGUUUUUUUGGCUGUUUGCUUUUCUAAGUACUAGUGCCGCAGGAGUUAGGUUCGUGUCCGCAAUACCUCCUGCUGCCCAAGUGCUUAUUAAAGCGGCAUUGAACCCAACAAG